GCGCCUAGGGGGCAGCAGUGGGGGAUAUUGCACAAUGGGGGGAACCCUGAUGCAGCGACGCCGCGUGGGUGAAGGAGCGUUUCGGCGCGUAAAGCCCUAUCGGCAGGGAAGAAGGAGGACGGUACCUGACUAAGAAGCCCCGGCUAACUACGUGCCAGCAGCCGCGGUAAUACGUAGGGGGCAAGCGUUAUCCGGAUUUACUGGGUGUAAAGGGGGCGCAGACGGCAGCGCAAGCCAGGAGUGAAAGCCCGGGGCCCAACCCCGGGACGGCUCUUGGAACUGCGCGGCUGGCGUGCAGGAGGGGG
rnacentral:rRNA from 1 species